UAGGGAAUCUUCGGCAAUGGGGGCAACCCUGACCGAGCAACGCCGCGUGAGUGAAGAAGGUUUUCGGAUCGUAAAGCUCUGUUGUAAGUCAAGAACGGGUGUGAGAGUGGAAAGUUCACACUGUGACGGUAGCUUACCAGAAAGGGACGGCUAACUACGUGCCAGCAGCCGCGGUAAUACGUAGGUCCCGAGCGUUGUCCGGAUUUAUUGGGCGUAAAGCGAGCGCAGGCGGUUUGAUAAGUCUGAAGUUAAAGGCUGUGGCUCAACCAUAGUUCGCUUUGGAAACUGUCAAACUUGAGUGCAGAAGGGGAGAGUGGAAUUCCAUGUGUAGCGGUGAAAUGCGUAGAUAUAUGGAGGAACACCGGUGGCGAAAGCGGCUCUCUGGUCUGUAACUGACGCUGAGGCUCGAAAGCGUGGGGAGCGAACAGGAUUAGAUACCCUGGUAGUCCACGCCGU
rnacentral:rRNA from 1 species